rnacentral:rRNA from 1 species
GGGUUGUGAGGUUAAGUGACUAAGCGUACACGGUGGAUGCCUAGGCAGUCAGAGGCGAUGAAGGGCGUGCUAAUCUGCGAAAAGCGUCGGUAAGGUGAUAUGAACCGUUACAACCGGCGAUACCCGAAUGGGGAAACCCAGUGUGUUUCGACACACUAUCAUGUCAUGAAUACAUAGUGGCAUGAGGCGAACCGGGGGAACUGAAACAUCUAAGUACCCCGAGGAAAAGAAAUCAACCGAGAUUCCCCCAGUAGCGGCGAGCGAACGGGGAGGAGCCCAGAACCUGAAUCGGCUUGUGUGUUAGUGGAAGCGUCUGGAAAGUCGCGCAGCAAAGGGUGAUAGCCCCGUACACUAAAAUGCACAGGUCGUGAGUUCGAUGAGUAGGGCGGGACACGUGACAUCCUGUCUGAAUAUGGGGGGACCAUCCUCCAAGGCUAAAUACUCCUGACUGACCGAUAGUGAACCAGUACCGUGAGGGAAAGGCGAAAAGAACCCCGGCGAGGGGAGUGAAAUAGAACCUGAAACCGUGUACGUACAAGCAGUGGGAGCACCUUCGUGGUGUGACUGCGUACCUUUUGUAUAAUGGGUCAGCGACUUAUAUUUUGUAGCAAGGUUAACCGUAUAGGGGAGCCGUAGGGAAACCGAGUCUUAACUGGGCGAAUAGUUGCAAGGUAUAGACCCGAAACCCGGUGAUCUAGCCAUGGGCAGGUUGAAGGUUGGGUAACACUAACUGGAGGACCGAACCGACUAAUGUUGAAAAAUUAGCGGAUGACUUGUGGCUGGGGGUGAAAGGCCAAUCAAACCGGGAGAUAGCUGGUUCUCCCCGAAAGCUAUUUAGGUAGCGCCUCGUGAACUCAUCUUCGGGGGUAGAGCACUGUUUCGGCUAGGGGGGCCAUCCCGGCUUACCAAACCGAUGCAAACUCCGAAUACCGAAGAAUGUUAUCACGGGAGACACACGGCGGGUGCUAACGUCCGUCGUGAAGAGGGAAACAACCCAGACCGCCAGCUAAGGUCCCAAAGUCAUGGUUAAGUGGGAAACGAUGUGGGAAGGCAUAGACAGCCAGGAUGUUGGCUUAGAAGCAGCCAUCAUUUAAAGAAAGCGUAAUAGCUCACUGGUCGAGUCGGCCUGCGCGGAAGAUGUAACGGGGCUAAACCAUGCACCGAAGCUGCGGCAGCGACGCUUAGGCGUUGUUGGGUAGGGGAGCGUUCUGUAAGCCGUUGAAGGUGGCCUGUGAGGGUUGCUGGAGGUAUCAGAAGUGCGAAUGCUGACAUAAGUAACGAUAAAGCGGGUGAAAAGCCCGCUCGCCGGAAGACCAAGGGUUCCUGUCCAACGUUAAUCGGGGCAGGGUGAGUCGACCCCUAAGGCGAGGCUGAAAAGCGUAGUCGAUGGGAAACAGGUUAAUAUUCCUGUACUUGGUGUUACUGCGAAGGGGGGACGGAGAAGGCUAGGCUGGCCGGGCGACGGUUGUCCCGGUUUAAGCGUGUAGGGGGUGUGACCUGGUAAAUCCGGUUGCAUAUCAACCCUGAGGCGUGAUGACGAUGCACUACGGUGCAGAAGUAGUUGAUGCCCUGCUUCCAGGAAAAUCCUCUAAGCUCCAGGUAACAUUAAAUCGUACCCCAAACCGACACAGGUGGUCAGGUAGAGAAUACCAAGGCGCUUGAGAGAACUCGGGUGAAGGAACUAGGCAAAAUGGUGCCGUAACUUCGGGAGAAGGCACGCUGGCAUGUAGGUGAAGUCCCUCGCGGAUGGAGCUGAAGCCAGUCGAAGAUACCAGCUGGCUGCAACUGUUUAAUAAAAACACAGCACUGUGCAAACACGAAAGUGGACGUAUACGGUGUGACGCCUGCCCGGUGCUGGAAGGUUAAUUGAUGGGGUCAGCCGCAAGGCGAAGCUCUUGAUCGAAGCCCCAGUAAACGGCGGCCGUAACUAUAACGGUCCUAAGGUAGCGAAAUUCCUUGUCGGGUAAGUUCCGACCUGCACGAAUGGCGUAAUGAUGGCCAGGCUGUCUCCACCCGAGACUCAGUGAAAUUGAACUCGCUGUGAAGAUGCAGUGUACCCGCGGCAAGACGGAAAGACCCCGUGAACCUUUACUAUAGCUUGACACUGAACAUUGAGCCUUGAUGUGUAGGAUAGGUGGGAGGCUUUGAAGCGUGGACGCCAGUCUGCGUGGAGCCAUCCUUGAAAUACCACCCUUUAAUGUUUGAUGUUCUAACUCGGCCCCAUAAUCUGGGGUGAGGACAGUGUCUGGUGGGUAGUUUGACUGGGGCGGUCUCCUCCCAAAGAGUAACGGAGGAGCACGAAGGUUAGCUAAUCACGGUCGGACAUCGUGAGGUUAGUGCAAAGGCAUAAGCUAGCUUGACUGCGAGUGACGGCUCGAGCAGGUACGAAAGUAGGUCUUAGUGAUCCGGUGGUUCUGAAUGGAAGGGCCAUCGCUCAACGGAUAAAAGGUACUCCGGGGAUAACAGGCUGAUACCGCCCAAGAGUUCAUAUCGACGGCGGUGUUUGGCACCUCGAUGUCGGCUCAUCACAUCCUGGGGCUGAAGUAGGUCCCAAGGGUAUGGCUGUUCGCCAUUUAAAGUGGUACGCGAGCUGGGUUUAGAACGUCGUGAGACAGUUCGGUCCCUAUCUGCCGUGGGCGUUGGAAGAUUGAGAGGGGUUGCUCCUAGUACGAGAGGACCGGAGUGAACGCACCACUGGUGUUCGGGUUGUCAUGCCAAUGGCAUUGCCCGGUAGCUAAGUGCGGAAAAGAUAAGCGCUGAAAGCAUCUAAGCGCGAAACUUGCCUCAAGAUGAGUCUUCCCUGGGCCUUCAAGGCCCCUGAAGGAACGUUUAAGACUAAGACGUUGAUAGGCUGGGUGUGUAAGUGCAGCGAUGCAUUGAGCUAACCAGUACUAAUGAUCCGUGAGGCUUAACCUUACAACACCGAAGGUGUUU